rnacentral:rRNA from 1 species
GACGGAGGGUGCAAGCGUUGCUCGGAAUCACUGGGCGUAAAGGGUGCGUAGGCGGAUUCUUAAGUCAGGGGUGAAAUCCUGGAGCUCAACUCCAGAACUGCCUUUGAUACUGGGGAUCUCGAGUCCGGGAGAGGUGAGUGGAACUGCGAGUGUAGAGGUGAAAUUCGUAGAUAUUCGCAAGAACACCAGUGGCGAAGGCGGCUCACUGGCCCGGUACUGACGCUGAGGUGCGAAAGCGUGGGGAGCAAACAGGG